AAAGUGCGAUAAGCACUGUGAAUCAGCAGAUCUCUCAACGCAUAUGCUCUCAGUUGAACUUGUUCUUCUGAGAGGUAUAUUUCAGUAUUGUCAUUAAUGUACUCCCGCAGUGCAUUUUUGUCAUCAUCACCUUCACUGGCGAUGACGACGUUAGGUUCGCUAAGUAAUACUGGCGAAUGUUAUCUGAUCGAUCACAUUAAGUUACUUUUUUAUGCUCAGAGCACAUAAUCAUCAAUCUGAAUUAUACCAGACUACCCGCUGAACUUAA
rnacentral:misc_RNA from 1 species